UACGUAGGGUGCAAGCGUUGUCCGGAAUUAUUGGGCGUAAAGAGCUCGUAGGCGGUCUGUCGCGUCGGCUGUGAAAACCCGGAGCUCAACUCCGGGCCUGCAGUCGAUACGGGCAGACUGGAGUUCGGCAGGGGAGACUGGAACUCCUGGUGUAGCGGUGAAAUGCGCAGAUAUCAGGAGGAACACCGGUGGCGAAGGCGGGUCUCUGGGCCGAUACUGACGCUGAGGAGCGAAAGCGUGGGGAGCGAACAGG
rnacentral:rRNA from 1 species